rnacentral:rRNA from 1 species
GGAUCAGUACGCUGGUCGUGCCUUCGGAAUGCACUGGUGUCACUGGUUCCUCCCUUCUGAAGAACCGUCAUGUCAUUAAGUUGGUGUGGCGGGGAAUCAGGACUGUUACUUUGAAAAAAUUAGAGUGUUUAAAGCAGGCAUACGCUUGAAUACAUUAGCAUGGAAUAAUGAAAUAGGACGUUUGAUUCUAUUUUGUUGGUUUCUAGGAUCGACGUA